UCAAGUGCUUUUCUUCCUGAAAGACAUCUUUGACUUUGAAAAGGUACGAUACUCAACUAUGGAGAGUUUGGCUGAAGACCUUAUGCAAUUAUUAAUCCGACGCACUGAACUUUUGAUGGCCUAUCUUGGAGCAGAUUCGUUGAAACAUGCCAGUGCUUGUGUAAGUGGUCAUGGGCAUGUGAUGACCAGUGGGCUCUUAGAAGCAAAGGUUCAGUAAGCUUAAAAUCCGUGAGAUAUGAGAUGGAGUGCACUUUGACAUGCUCCUUCCCACCUUUCUUUCUAACCCCAAAGCUUGCAUUGCUGUUAAUGAGCAAACAUCUGAAAAUGUACCAUGUUGCUAAGUAAGGAAAAGGACUCAGGGAGGAUACGCAUCUACAAAAAGAACUGGUGAGCAUACUGUUGUAUAUAUCUAAAUUAAAUGUGCAGCUCAGCUGACAUCAUAUUUAUAUUUAAUGUAUCCCAAAGCUUUUUUUCUGUAAUAUUUUGGUAAAGUUUAUUUAUGAAAUACUGUACUUUUGCCACAGGUAAUUUGUAAGUGGAGCUGAUCGAUGUGUCUCAUGUAAAGGCUUAUAGUACAAAAUGUUCACUACGGAGUCUCAAAGUCAUGAUGUGUCAAGACCAAGGAGGUGUUUCAGUGGGGGUAUAUACAGUUAUACAGUCUCUGAUUCAUGUGACCUGUGCAAUAAAGUAAUCAAAGUUACAAAACUGAACAUGUUGCUACUGCCCUGAAGUUACGUUUGUGUGGAUGUAAGCAGUUGUUUUGUACUACAGUAUAAUAAGAGUGAUGCAGGCACCAUUUGGGCAGUAAUGACUUCCAGUAUGCAUUUUUUGCUUUAUUUUUGUGCAAAAUCUAAUAAUCAUGAAGGUGUUUGUAUGAGACCACUUUUUAUAUCCAAACAGCUAUGCUAGUUUCACCAAUAUUUUUUUUCUUUUUUAAAACUGCAAAGACUUUAAAUGGUUUAAAUGGUGAUGGAUAUAAUUCUUAGUUCUUAUGUAGCAUUUCAAAAUACGUUUUUAAAUCAUGAUAAUUUUUUAAUCAUGAAACAGAAUCAGGGGGCAGUGUUUUGUAAUUAAAAGUAUUUAUGUCUUCCUGCCUUCCUUGUAAGGAGGUCAAUUAUCUAUUUGGGAGGAAAUGUGGUGAUUUUGGCCAUAAACGUUAACAUGUAGAAGUGGUGGCUCAGGAUAUGGAAACCUUAACUUUGGUUAGGAGGCAAUACAGUAAUGAGGCAUGAGAAAGCUUGCAGCAACAUUUUGACUGUGUUAAAGCUAAUAAUGAUCUAUAGUCUUGAAUUCCUUUAAUCUGAAACAGUGUUUUCUAGUUAGCUUUUAAAGUACAUUGAUGUAUUCUUGGCCACAGAAAGCCAGCCUACAAGAAUCCAGCCUGUGUUAAGUAAGUAAUGAGACUAAUUACAGACUAAUUCUAAACAUUCAGAUAUUCAGGAGCAUGUUGUUGUAAUGUAACAUAUUGAAGCAAACUUUGAUUAGAAACAUUUCAACUACUGUUGCACAAAUAGCCCAAACUGAUGGUACUUGAAGAUGAGGACCUGUGUCUUUCCAUAGGUUUUACUGAAGCCAACAUUUUGUCGUGUUCAUUUGAUAAAGAUUAUGAAAAAGUGUCAUAUGACUUGUGUGAAAUGCCAACUGAUUAUAUUAAAAAAGAAAAAAAAGAAAUACUAUAAUUCUGUGUGUAAUAAAAUAGAAGUUCCAAAUGCUGCUGUUGCACUGUUUUCACCAUUCAGGUUGCUGAACUUGGCACUCUGCUACACUUUUUUUCUCAGUUGAUAAUAUCUGCAAUACCAGAAUGUGAAGUUUGUAUUACCCUUCUCAUUUAUCUUAAACAUACUUAUCUCUUCUCAUUGUAGUGCUCAAAAAUUCCUGUAUUAUGGCAGCUUUCUGCAGUCUGUGAAUGGAAUUAUAUUGAACUCUAAGGUGAUUCAGAAUCAGUGAGAGAGAAAAUGGUGUCAAAUAUACCACCUGGGCACUUAGUGUGUCACAGGAAGCUGUGGUUUGUCCAGUCCAAUAAAAUGUUGAGAAAAUGAUACCUUAGCAUUCAUCACAGAAAAGCAGAAAUACACAUUUUUACAGAAGUAAAUGCCUGAGUGACCAAUUCUUGUAUUUAUAAAAUACUCCUGAAGAAAGUACAACCCAAAUGUUAUUCAACAGCGCUGAUAUGAGGCUGUUUCCAAAGGAUUUAAUUAUGUGGUCUUCUGUCAGAAAUGAAAGGAUUUAAAACAAAAAAAAAAAACACACCAAUAUGCUAUGCCAAAAUAUUUAGAAAAUGGUUAAGUACCUGAUAUUUUUGGUUCAACAGAUGUAUCCCUUUAGGUCAGGAAUGCUUCCAUGACAUCACAGAGCUCUCAGAAGUCCAUAGAAUCAGGUCAGAAAUGAGGCUGAUGUUUCCCAUCCGGAAUAGGAGUUACAGCAUCUGGUUGCAGAGAGAUAACAACAAUAGAUAUUUCUUUUAGACUUUGGCUUCUAUUUAUGUGAACUUUCUGGAAAAAAAAAAUAAAGAAAAAGAAAUUAAGGAAUAAAGAAAUAGGUAAGGAGAGAGAGAAGAAGGAAAAAAGGGGAACAGAGAAAUGUGCAUGUGCAGAAACCUUCGGGACCUUUUGGACCUUCUCCUCAAAAGCAUUUGCAUAUUCUGCCCUUCCUAGCUCCAAAAGCAGAGCUGUGAAUUUAAGUGGGAGGGGGGAGCUGCCUUCUUGCUGUGGUUUACACAACUGAGCUCGAGGGGACGUAUGGAGUAUCUUGAUAACUGCCACACAGCUGAGGAAUUCCAAGUCUGCCACCUUUGAAAACUCAAAUGCCAGAGCUGCACCAAAGCAGUGAUGGUAUGAUGUGGCUUUACUGAAUUCAUAACUAAGAAGUAAGAAUUUAGUUCAUAACCUCUUUUUAAAUAGUUUUGAAUGCUACUUUCUGUGCUAAUAAGAGCAAGCUAAAUUUAAAAGCCGUCCUGUUCUGUCGUAACUAAAGCUAAGAUCAGAAAUGUUGAAUGUGUAAGGACCAUAGAAGAAUCAAGUAUUUACAUCAUUUGCAAUUUCGUUGUUAAGAUCAUCUCACUUUUAAUGCAUUCUUAAUGCUUAUUAAUACUGCUCUUUUGUAGUCUUUAGUUUCUGUCAAACUAAAUGUGUCAAAUCAAGUGCUUGAGUAAGCAUAUCUGUGAACUUCUCAUUGCCGAAAUGAACUGCAGUUGUGUUAAUAAAUAAAAUAAUACUGUGACAUUACUUGCUUGGAUAACUGUCUAAAACUUGAGUUUGCACAAUUCUUAACAUCUAUUGUAAAAAUAUUUAAUAUGAAAGCAUUUUUAAUACCAGUUAGCCAUUUAAAUUGAAAUUUAAAUUUGCUUCUUAGAAUCCAACAAAAAUAUGACAACAUUGAACAUAUGAGAAAAAGGAAUGGAAGGGGAUCAGCUGUCCAGCUUAAAUUGAUUUUGUAGAUCUGUUUCAUUCUGCUUCUAUUGUGCAAAGCAGUGAUCAAUUUUCAACACAUUGGCCAGCAAUACACCAAAAGCUGAAGAGUGGAAUUUUUAGCACUGGAAGUCAAACAGGUGACUCAGGCGGACAUCUUAAUUAAGGAAGAGAACCCUGCCCAAAGGAUGGUUGUCGUGCUGCAGACACAGCAGGUUUAUUUCCAAAUAGUCCCACUACAGUGAGCUCAGGCUGUGAACUAAGACUUCCCUGGAGGGCAGAUUGGCAAAGGCUGAGGGCGUGUGUUUAUCAGCCCCGUGCCUGUGAUUCCGGCUGCCCCUUGGCUCCAGUCUGGCAGACAAAAUACAAGGAUAGAAAAGAGGACGUUCUCCUGCACUGGGAACCGUGCGAUUGGAAAGGUAGGAAACAAGGAGGAAAAGGAAUGCAUUCAGAUGUAAUAAAACCACGCUUCUGCCUGUGCUUAGUGCAGUUUCCAGAGCAAGGCGCUGCUUUAGGCUGAACGCGCUCUGGGUUCCGGCACGGGCCGGAUUCCUGUCCGCUCCAUCAGCUAACUGUCACAGCACUAUUAUUAGGCGAUUGCUUCGCGUGUGCCAUAAAGCGACCGAGGAGCUGACGGCGGCAGGUUAUAAAGCCGCCCCGCAAGCGGAGCAUGAGGCAGCCACUGCCAGCAGCGCUCCGCAGCCGGGGGUAAGUGUGCCGUGCGGGACUCGGGGCUCCCUGCGGCGGGGAUCCGGGACGGGGACCG